UCACUACGGUGAUGAAGUAGCUCAUGCCCCGCUUCCAGGAAAAGCCUCUAAGCUCUAGAUUAUCAUUAAUCGUACCCCAAACCGACACAGGUGGUCAGGUAGAGAAUACUCAGGCGCUUGAGAGAACUCGGGUGAAGGAACUAGGCAAAAUGGUGCCGUAACUUCGGGAGAAGGCACGCUGGCAUUAGGUGAAGUGAUUUACUCAUGGAGCUGAAGCCAGUCGCAGAUACCAGCUGGCUGCAACUGUUUAUUAAAAACACAGCACUGUGCAAACACGAAAGUGGACGUAUACGGUGUGACGCCUGCCCGGUGCUGGAAGGUUAAUUGAUGGGGUUAUCCGUAAGGAGAAGCUCUUGAUCGAAGCCCCAGUAAACGGCGGCCGUAACUAUAACGGUCCUAAGGUAGCGAAAUUCCUUGUCGGGUAAGUUCCGACCUGCACGAAUGGCGUAAUGAUGGCCAGGCUGUCUCCACCCGAGACUCAGUGAAAUUGAACUCGCUGUGAAGAUGCAGUGUACCCGCGGCAAGACGGAAAGACCCCGUGAACCUUUACUAUAGCUUGACACUGAACAUUGAGCCUUGAUGUGUAG
rnacentral:rRNA from 1 species